CAUUCAGGCAUGUGAGGUUGUUUUUAUUUAUCAGGACUGCAACUGAAGUUUAUGCUCCCCGCCCAAUAAGUGCUGAUUACUUCAACGAGGUGUCCAGACCCACUUAACUCACCUAAGACAGUUCCAGGUUUAAGGUUGUGUUUUCUUGUGAAGCAUCAACAUUCAAUUUCCAUUUCAGUGCCACAAGUGGACUUAUCCCAAAUUAAGAGGAUUAAAGAGCUCCUCGAGAACUGAGGCCAGAAACGCUUCCAUACUGCAGGAGGUAGAGUCAGCUGCAAAGGCGGGGCUGAAACUCACAGCAAAAAAAGGAUACACAGCACACAAGACCACAAAACAAAUAACCAGCAAUAUUGGAGCCUUGCAGCCGUACAGUUUAGUUUAGAUCCAGGUUCCAGCUCAUA
rnacentral:lncRNA from 1 species